CUUUGGCAAACAGAUAGAUACUGAAAUUGUAAAUGAUACAGAGGAGAUUAGCAUGCCCCUUGCACAAGGAUGACACAUAAAUUCAUGAAAUAUUCCAUAUUUAA